rnacentral:rRNA from 1 species
GAUGAACGCUGGCGGCGUGCCUAAUACAUGCAAGUCGAGCGAACAGACGAGGAGCUUGCUCCUCUGACGUUAGCGGCGGACGGGUGAGUAACACGUGUAUAACCUACCUAUAAGACUGGUAUAACUUCGGGAAACCGGAUCUAAUAGCGUAGAAUAUAUUGAACCGCAUGGUUCAAUAGUGAAAGACGGUUUUGCUGUCACUUAUAGAUGGAUCCGCGCCGCAUUAGCUAGUUGGUAAGGUAACGGCUUACCAAGGCAAGGAUGCGUAGCCGAACUGUGAGGGUGGUCGGCCACACUGGAACGGAGACAGGGUCAAGACGCCUACGGGAGGCAGCAGUAGGCAAUCUUCCGCAACGGGCGAAAGCCUGACGGAGCAAGGCCGAGUGAGUGAUGAAGGUCUUCGGAUCGUAAAACUCUGUUAUUAGGGAAGAACAGCUGUGUAAGUAACUAUGCAGGUAUUGACGGUACCUAAUAAGAAAGCCACGGCUAACUACGUG